rnacentral:rRNA from 1 species
ACUGUGUGAAUUAAUGUGAACUGCAUACUGCUUUGAACAUCGACAUCUUGAACGCAUAUUGCGGCCACGGGUUAGCCUGUGGCCACGCCUGUCCGAGGGUCGGCUUAUAAACUAUCACGACGCUCAAUUAGUCGUGGCUUGGAAUACUGCCAGCUGGUACACAUCCCCNUUGUGAGCUUGUGUGGGGUACCAGAUCUAUGGCUUAUUCUUAAUGUAUCCGGUUGCACCGUAUGUCUGUGUAGUGCUGACGUUAGGUUGCAGCGGCGGAGUCGUGGCUCAGUUCACUUCAUUUGCUUUUUAUAGCACGCUCCGCUGUUGUGGCUUAGCAUGAGGUAUUAUGCAGUUGUACGAGUUGCAGCUAGGUCAUAUCUGCUGACCAAAAAGUGUACAUCUNUACGCUUCCUGACCUCGGAUCAGACGUGAAUACCCGCUGAA